rnacentral:tRNA from 1 species
GACCGCGUAGCUCAGUUGGAAGAGCAUUUGGGCUAGUAUUCCAAAGGUCGUAGGUUCGAAUCCCACCGUGGCCG